CAUGAGCGUUCCCAGCCUGUGGUUUUAGUUGUCUGUGAGCAGUCACACACUGACUGGGUUGGCAAAGAACAUUCCUAUAGCAUCCUCCAGCCCCAGAGAACUGUAGCUGAAGGACUCCUUCCCAGCUGUAGAAAGGCAAUUAUUUCUAAACCAGCCCACUCACGUUAAACUCUUGUAUGAACAUAACAAAUGACAAAGGAGUUUGAAUCAUCUACAGUACAUCUGUGGAACUUGAGGAAACUUUGCCACAGGAUAGAUCAGACGAAGCCAACCAGCAUCCCUGAUGAAAAGUGAUUCCUGCUUUAAUUGAAAUGAGCGCUAUGAACAGCUGCCAGAAACUUCUCAUGGUAGAGAAACUGCCAGCAACCAGAUGAAGACACCUGUCCCGAUCUGCAUGUGGAGCCGUGAGCAGUCAUUUCCUAACUUGGCAGUGCUCCUUGCAGUAACAUUUCCAACACCACCUAGAGGACCAGGAAAUUCAGGCAGGCUGGCAACACCAGAGGUGGGCCUGAUCAGAUCUUUCUCGGCAAGUUCUUAUUCAAGAAAUAAGAGAAAAUGGAGUAUGCUGGGCAUUAAUCCCGAGAUGCUAUAGAGAAUUUUUUUGGAGGUUAACUGCUGAUUUGCAAAUAUGCAACUUUUCAAGUUUUGGUCUAUGUGGAUUUGGAAGAAAACUGAAAAAAGAUAUUGAGGAUAGUUUCAUUCCUUUCCUACUGAUGAGUCAGAGCACCCACUUCUACCAGCAUAAACAGAGAUGUGGGAGGAACAGUGUGGCAGGACCCAAUGAGCACUUGGUCAGUAAAUCAGGAUCUCUGACUUCUACAUCCAGAGUGUGUGACCAGGGGAAGUCCCAUCAACUCCUUGUGUCUCAGGAGUAUGAUAGCAUUUCCUUUGCUGAAUUCUGUUUCCAUAGAGGCAGGAACUUUGAAGAUGCACACAGUGAGUAACCACUUGCCAUCACUACUGUUACUCGUUACUUUAUCUUUCGUAAAAUUGUCUUAAUGAAUUUUCUUCUUUGCCACCAAUUUUGUGGUUUAGGAAGCUCAUCCUGUUUCUAAACAAUAAGAUAUUUAAGUCCCCAUCUUUAAGGUCCAUAAAUAAAAUAAUCACAUUCAUUCUUUUAUCAUUUUGGAUAUGAAAUGGGGCACGUUUGAUAGGGAAGCAAUAUGAAUUACAUUCAUCUCUUAAAAGUUGUCUGUCUUUGCACAUUCUUCUUAAUAUUUUUGAGGUUCAGUUUCCUUGUUAGUAAAGCAGAAAUAAUCAUUUUUUUCUCUGUCAACCAUCCAUGGUUGCUCUGGGUUGCAAAAAAGAGAUUCCAUAUAAGAAAUAGCUUCCAGUGGUAGAUAAACACAACGCCUCAUUAUUACUAAUCACUGUAGAGUUGCUAAUUUCUCACCACUGUUUUGAAAUUAUGAGUAGCUAUUGAGGUCUCGAUGAUACCUGAAUAACACAGCAAGAGACCUUAGAGGUGCCAGCAUGGAAUGAAAUCUCCAUGCUUAUGCAUGUUUUGUUUGUUUGUUUGUUUGUGCUAGGCGGGCCUCUCACUGUUGUGGCCUCUCCGGUUGUGGAGCACAGGCUCCGGACGCACAGGCUCAGCGGCCAUGGCUCACGGGCCCAGCCGCUACGCGGCAUGUGGGAUCUUCCCGGACCGGGGCACGAACCCGUGUCCCCUGCAUCGGCAGGCGGAUUCUCAACCACUGCGCCACCAGGGAAGCCCUCCAUGCUUAUGCAUUUUUGAUGAAGAAAGCACCUUCGCUAUGAUCUUUUCUAGCAUUUUUUUUUUUUUUUUUUUUUUAAUAUAUGUUCCUCAGACCUUUCAAAAGUUACUACAGGAGGUAAGAGGAAAUCCAAUUGACAGAGCCUCGGGGCCCUCUGUUUCCCUUUCAACCUAAGUAGUUCACUUGUAUCUACAUUUUUUUUUUCUUAUUUUUUUUUUUUCCCCCUGAGAUACAAUGAAAAGAAACAGCUUCUGGAUAUUCUGACUGACAUCUCUCCCUACCGCCCCUCCCCGCCACCCCCACGCACACAAACCCACAAACGAUAAAGUUUGAAAACUCCAGAUGGACUCCAGCCUCUUCAGUUAAUAGAUGAUGAAUUUGAAGCCCAAAGGGAUGAGUGAUUUUCCAAGGUUACCCACCCCCACUUCCGGUCAGGGGCGAUGUAAGGACUAAAUCCCGGUCCUGAAACCUCGACCAUCACCAUCUCAUCAUUCUGCCCCAUAAUGUGACUGGGAAGAUUUUCCGAUUCAGCAGUGUCACUUUUGGCUUUGUUUCAUUUUGUCUGGGGGUAGGCAUGGUAUAUGAACUGUAUUAUCAGAUUGAUCCACAUGGCACUAACAAUCCCCAAAGUAUCGCUUCAAAUGAUUCUCCUCUCAAAGUUACUGGCUUUCACCAAAAUAAACGUACCUCGUUAUCAUGCAGGUUGAGGCUUCAAUCUAGGUUUUCUACUUAGGAAAUACUUUUCCAGAUUAAGAUUCAGGUACCAACGAUUAUUCUGUGGAUCAUCAGCAAUUUCUUCUAUUUUAUACAAAAGCUAAAAUCAAAUAGAACUUAUUUUUUUUACAGCCCCUCUCUAGUAAGGUAACCACAGAAUUUAUUGCCCAAAUGAGGACAGUUUUGAGAGGUAAAAGAAACACAAUUAAUAAUUACUCUGGGAAUACUGAUGUGUAAAUUGGACUUCUUCUAGGCAAACUGGGAAGUGAGAUCACCCUGUUCAUUAACCAUCUUAUAGAUGUGUUUGAGCUAAGUGAGGGUGAACUAUUGGUUAACUGAACAUGACUUUCAGUCAUAAGUAUUUAAGGAUUGGUACUAAUUGCUUUUUUUUCUCCGAAAGAAUGGUAAUAUUAGCAAGAUCAGAUUCAAAAUUAAAGCACAAGAAGAGUAAAUGAAUUUACCUCUCUCCUCUCCCCUCCUGCCCACCCCGCUACUCUCUCACACACGUGCUGCGCGCGCGCGCGCGCACGCACACACACACACACACACACACACACACACACACAUUUUGGACACAAACUCUAAAAGCAAUUCAUUCUUAAUAAGGAAAAGGACUACUUUCUCUUUAAUAAAAUUCUAUCAAAGAAUACCCCUGAGACAAACUAUAUAAUCAGUUUAAACAUGGCUAAGAGACACUUGAUCAUUUCCCCACACUUCCUCUUUCAAAGAGAAAACAAAACAAAACAAGACCAACUAUUUUAAAUGGUAAUAAAAGAUACUUGACCUUAGUGAAGAAAAUAAGGCCUAGAGACUUUUUAUGUUUGUGGUUUUAUAAUAGUGACUUAGAGUCAAAGACUAUGGAAACCUGCUUUGGCUAAGCUGGCCCAUAGGGUUAACCAUUAUUUUGCUGAUGAUGAUUGAUUUCACUUAAACUAUUUCAUACUUUUUAACAUGAAAACAAAGCAAAAAGGUAUUUUUAAAACUUUUUAACCUGUUAUAUCUGCAGUGUCGCUCAUGGUAACUUUUGGUGACUGCCUUGAUAGAAAAUAUAUGAGGAUAGGAAAAUUUAUUUGCACAAAGAGAUAAAGAAAAAAAAACAUGUGAAAUACUGUAGGUGAAUCACUUCUCACAGUCAUUCUCUACAAUUGAACUUUCAGUGCAAACUUAAUGAGAGCAAAGAACUUACCUGUUGUGCUUGUUAUUGCAAUCCCUAGGUCCGGCAUGGUGACUGGCAUGUAGUAGGCAGUCAGUAUAUAUCUGAUAAACAUAAAGGCAUGAAUGAAUGAUCCUCAUUAGCUAAUUCAUAUUUACCUUUUACAGAUAUCACUGUGUCAGUUGGAUCUAGUGUAGAAUUGAUCUCAUAUUUGCAAAGACCAACUCUCCAAUCUUUCAAAGUCAUGCAUUUCCAGUUUAUUGGACAUUUCUUCUAAUUGUAGGACAGCUACUUAACUGGCACAUUUCAACCUAGGAUACUCAGGCCACACUUUUAAAACUUUUUCUCAUGUGGAAAAGUCUAUUGGGAACAUUAUCAACUAUAUGUGGCAUUUACCAAUGUUCCUCACCUUUAACUCUCUGGACAGGGUUCAUUUAUGGACCAAGGUGCCAAAAUUUACCAUAAGAUCCUCAUUUAUAAAUGCUCAUAUAGAGCAUGUUCUAUACUAUUUCAGAAAAUGGGAGAUCCGGUAGGAAUGGCCUUUCAGAAAAAUAAAACAGGAGCUAUGUUCUCCAUCUUUUUAACCUUGUUUUUUUAAUGACUUUUAGUUACUUUCAAAGAUCUGCUUUUAUCCUUCCCCCAGCCCCUUUCCUUAUGCAAAGAAUACAAAGAUUCUGGCUUUGUAUGCAGAAAUUUGGUUUUAUCAUUUAAACUUAAGGCAUCCUGAAAAACAAUGGACACAUUCAGUUGUCUCUGCAUAAGCAAGGAUCUUACCCUAUUUUAAGAGUAAAAUAAUUUUCACCAACAAAUAACUUAAUUUAACCAGUUUAUAAGCAACAAUCGUAUGUUAAGUAUCUUGUUUAGUUUUUCUUGUUCACAAUUUGCAAUAUUUUCCAGAAGUUCCUUACUAUAGCUUCGGGAAGUGGCUUUCAAUUUUUUUGACUAAAAAUUGGAGAGACACACGUUUAAUUCACAGCCAGGUACACACACACAACACACACACACACACAAUUAAAAUAAAAGUUUCUUGAAGCAAUACUUAUCUGAUUAUGUGUAAUGCAUUCUCAUACUUCCCAUUUUAUUCUAACAUAUAUUUCAAUUAUUUAAAAACAUUAGACCUUAAGUUUCUAUCUACUAAAUUGGUUUAUGAUCCACCAGCGAGUCAUAAAAUUUACAUGUUUAGAGAAAUUUUCAGUCAUGAUACAAAAAAGUUAUUACUGUUUUUAUUUUGUUACAUUUAUAUAUCAUUAUAUUAAUAUACAUUAAAUGCUUAUUAUUAUCGUUAUUAUUAUUAUUAAAGUCCUUCAGUCUUGCAAAAGAAUCCAGCAUGCCAUAAUGCUCAUAAACAAAACAUGUGAUGAGAAAUACAAGUCUUAAAUUUUUAGUUGCCUCUGUGGUGGACAGAGUUUUCCAACAUGGCCAUAACAAGAUAGCUCCUUCUCUUACAUGGUGAUACUGAUGUUUGUCCUAUUAAGGUAUGGCAUCUCUGGCCCCUUGAAUCUGUGUAGGUCUAUGUCUAUGGUGAGAGUGACACUACAUGACAAGUCAUAUACGGUGAUACGGUUUCUCCCUGGAAGCUCACUCUUAGUCCCUAGGCACCAGGCUGUGAAGAGAAAGAAAGAUGACAUAGAAAGGCCACAUGUAAGUGAUCUGGGUAACAGCCCCCAGUGAGGUCCAGCCAUAGCUGACAUCAAUGUCUAAACCUGUGAUUAAGUGAGAUCUCAGAUGAUUCCAGUCCUAGCCUUCGAGUUACUUCAAGUUUUUGAGUCUUCCCAGCCGAGAUCUCAGAAGUUGUUGAGCAGAAAUAAGCCAUCUAUGCUGUGCCUUUUCCAAAUUCCUGACCCACAGAAUAUAUGAACAUAAUAAAAUAAUUUUUGUUUUAUUCAAUUAAGUUUGGCUUUGUUGUGUCAUAAUAGCUUACUGUAACAACUUCCAAUUCUAUUCUAUCUUCAAAAGAUUUCAAAUUGAUGGUUUCUCCAAAAUAAUACUAUUGGAGUGUGUAAGAAGAGAAUUACUCUUCUGUACCAACCUCUAGGAGUAGAUCAUAAACAAUUGGUUAAUUCAAAAUACAAAAACUGUGUCUAUAUGCACUUUGAAGCAUAAUCAUUAUUAAUUUAAUAAUGGCUUGGGUUUGACUGUGUGAGGGCUUAGACUGUGUCUGUCUUAUUCUCAGCUAUAUGCUUAGUAACUAACACAAUACAUAUUUAUUGAGUGAAUAAGGAAUAUGCUGCCUGAAGCAACCCACAAACCACUUUUCUCUCUCCUUUUC